UACGUAGGGGGCAAGCGUUGUCCGGAUUCAUUGGGCGUAAAGAGCGUGUAGGCGGCCAGGUAGGUCGGUUGUGAAAACUGGAGGCUCAACCUUCAGAGGUCGACCGAAACCAUCUGGCUAGAGUCCGGGAGAGGAGAGUGGAAUUCCAGGUGUAGCGGUGAAAUGCGUAGAUAUCUGGAGGAACACCGGUGGCGAAGGCGGCAUCCUGGACCGGUAUUGACGCUGAGGCGCGAAAGCUAGGGGAGCAAACGGG
rnacentral:rRNA from 1 species